CCCAUUCCUUUGGCUAUAAAUAUAACCCUGCACCUUUUUCAAAAAAGAGAGGAGAAAAUUUGGGAGAAUGAAUAUGGCCCCAUGAAGGUUUUUGCUAAUUCCCUCUCUCUAAAUAAAGAAUCCGUCCAAGUAUAAAAUUUUGAAUGUGUAAUCCUUCCCUGAACCGUGAGAUCUAAUCCUGUUCGGUUCGAUUUGGAGCUUGGAGCAUAAGGGUUAUCUCCACUUGUUUCUUGAUUAAAGCCGGGUUUAAGAUGAGGAGAGUAGUCAGCUGCAUGUUGAUAAUUCAGAGCAUGAUGACGUGGUUAUGGAUCAGUUGGCUUGUAUUCUAGAUUUUGAUGAUUUCAACCAUGGGCAUGACUGCGAAUGUGAUGAUUGUGCAUACGGUGGACAACAAUAUUGAGGACUGAUGUAUUUGAUUAUCCUUUUGUGUAUAUAUGUGGAUAGUAGUGAAAAAAAUCAAUUUUUGUUGAUACAGGUUGGAAGGAAAAACAACUGUUGGAAGAGAUUUUGUGUAAAUAUUUGUUUUAGAAUGGGAUUAAUGUAUAUAUAUAUAUGGAUUACUGUA